UACGUAGGGAGCAAGCGUUGUUCGGAUUUACUGGGCGUAAAGGGUGCGUAGGCGGCGCGGUAAGUCGGGUGCGAAAUCUCGGAGCUUAACUCCGAAACUGCAUUCGAUACUGCCGUGCUUGAGGACUGGAGAGGAGACUGGAAUUUACGGUGUAGCGGUGAAAUGCGUAGAUAUCGUAAGGAAGACCAGUGGCGAGGCGGGUCUCUGGACAGUUCCUGACGCUGAGGCACGAAGGUCAGGGGAGCAAACGGG
rnacentral:rRNA from 1 species